UCUGCAAUGGCCUGGGCUCCUCUCCUCCUCUUCCUACUUGCUCACUAUCCAGGCUCCUGGGCACAGUCUGGGCUGACACAGGAAGCAUCGAUGUCAGGGUCUGUGGGGAAGACAGUCACUCUGUCUUGCACUGGAAACAGCAACAAUGUUGGUUACAGUGGUGCAGGCUGGUACCAACAGAUUCCUGGUGCUGCCCCCAAAACUGUGAUGCUUGGAAGUUCUCGACCUUCAGGGAUCCCAGCUCGGUUCACUGGUUCCAAGUCUGGCAACAAGGCCUCUCUAACCAUCUCAGAUAUCCAGCCCGAGGACGAGGCUGACUAUUACUGUUCUGCAUUCGAUUAUAGUAUCAACAAUACCACAGUACUUCAAACUCAAGGGGAAGUGAGACAAAAACCCAACCCAGUUCUGUGUGCUGACCCCUAUAGCAACCCAUGUAAACACAAGAUUAAGUACUAUGGAGACUUAUGUGUUUGA